AUCCCGCGGGGUCCGGCCCCAGGGGUGGGGUCCGUCCCAGGGACCGGGAUCGGCUCCACGCUGGGAGGCGAACGGGGCUGUCUCCGUGUUCUGCCCCUGGGUUGUCGUGUAGGGGAAAGCUGCCUCCUGCUCGGGUUGACAGACGCGGCAACAUCAAACACCGGUGACCAAACUGGUGAACAGAAUAAACCGCAGAGAAACCUCCCUCCACCUCAGCGCCUGUCACUGGACCUCCCUUAACAGAGCGACUGAGGCUGCAAUACAUACGCGGGCUUUUAGAUUCGCCUUGUUUUUUCAACCACCUGAGCUCCAGCCCACACGUCGGCCCGGCAGCGCUGUGACACCGAUUCACUGGAGGGCACAUUCCCUAACCUGGGGGGGGGGGGCAUGGUGAGGGGACCACGGCACUUCCCAGGAGGUUUCAAACCCCAGACUCCUCCACAGUGUCCUUUCAUGUGAACCACUCUUUCUGUAGAUGCAAGCGAGCUAAUUAAUGAUUUACAGUGUUUUGAAGAAAACCAUCAGCAUCCAGACUACAAAUGACAACAGGGGAACAAAGAGCUCACAUUCUAUUGAGGAUCCUUCAGGAAGCUGUAAGUCUGAGUGCUGACACAGUUAAUGUGUUGUUAUGAGUACCUCUUCUGAAAGUGAAAGGCAGAGCUUUCAUAACAGUAUGAAGUUUCCUAAUUCUUUUGCCUGAGCUCCAGAGUUACAUAUGCUAAAAAAAUCUUGUCAAUUGCAAGGUACACGUUCUAUACAAAUGAAUAAAAAUACAGUCCUAAUUCACAUUUAUAAAAUAUCUGCUUUUGUUCCUUAAACAGUAACAGUACAACGUAUUUUGUUCAGAAUGAUUUUAUUUGGAUUAUAGCAAUUAGUAUCACUGAUCAGUAGGCCAAGUCCAGGCAGAGAGCACAGAAUCAAUUUCACAAGGCAACAACACAGACUAGUAUUUUAGCAUACCAACCAUUUCACUGCAUUAUCAAGUUGAAAUAUCUUUCAACCAUGCAUAAAAAGUCUAUGCUUCAUCUUUCAGAGCUCCAGGUAAUAUCAGAUUCCUAAAUAUACAAAAAAUACAUUUAACUUAUAAUAAUCUUAGUGAAUCAGACUUAUAAAAUUACAAUUUUAUUCUUCACAACAUAGAAAAAAAUACAAAAAUGACUGUAUAUAGUUUUCACCCAAAUUUCACUGACAUAUACAUCAAAAUGCAUGAUUUGAUGUAUACUCAUGAAAAUUUUAAGCUGAAAAAGGUUUUCAAAUGACACUGCAGAUUGGUCCACACAAAUGUCAACCUUCAUUAUGGUAACAAAAAACCCCACCUUUAAUAGAAACAUCACAUUGUGAAAAAUUACAAUUUAUCUGCACUGUAACCUGCAUCUUACUGUAAUUUACAAUAUGAACAUUUCUACAAUUCCAGUUGUAAACUAUACACUGGUAAGAGCCUUGGUCUUUUAGAGGGUAGUGACUAACUCAGACAAAGCCAGCAUGGUAGAACAUAAAGUGCUGUCAACUGAACCAGUGCACACAACAGAGACACCAAAGCAGAGAACGCCUGCUGGGUUGGAUAUGCUGAUAGAGAACAUGCAAGCUAAGUAAACAGUCUGUGGGGAAAAUAAAACCCUCUACAUUUGUGACAAACAGUACCAAUCAAAGCUUCUGUUAUAGAGUUCAUACAAAUCACAUUACCACUUCAGUGACAGAUGAGGGGAAAUUUCUUAUUUUAUGAGGAAAAACCCCACAUGUGUGACCAAAGUCAAUAGGAACAACCCAAAGAGGAUUAGGGCAUCACACUACAGUUCUCACUCAAGAUCACCUUCCAGUGAUUUCCAGGGAAGAUAAACUUGAAAAAGCAACUGCAAGAUGAAGUGCUGAAUUUUUGUACAUACUAACUGCAUGUUUAUACUUUAGAAUAUAAUUUAUAAAUCAACUUUGCUGAUAAAAUUUCUUACUAGCAAAGCAAUUUCUUUUAAAAGUCUGCAGUUUAUUUGCAUUUGUGUGGUAAAUUAAUAUUUUCAAUUAAAGUAAAUAUUUCGUGAUAAAGCUUAUUCAGUAAAGGUGUUGGUUGUACAAAUUUCCUCCCUACUGGCAGCACGCUCUACUUUUCCAUGGUGCCAGUGCUAUCUGAUUGUACUGUCCACAGAUCUGGACUAUAUCUUUCUCAUCAGCAGAGCCAGCAGUUUGUUUCAUAUUGGAGUAUUACACAGCCAUUUUUUUUCCUCCAAAUUGGACCAACAAAUUUGAAACCAAAUCUUUUAUUUGGGCCCAGAAAUCAAAUUAAGAAAGUUCAGGAGCUGAGCAUCGACAAUAUCCAAUAACCCAAGUACAUCAGGAAAUCAGAUCUUUUAGAUGGCAUCCUUCAGAAAUACUGACAUCACUUUCUUUAACAGCAAGUAUAAGCAAAAGAUGUUUUGUUCGGAGGUGGAAAUUUACACUUUCAAACAGUUCAGUAUAGCGUAACAUUUCUCAGAUGACUACAACAAAGCACAUAACCUAAUGCAGAAAUGAACUGAACUGUUGCAUCUUCGAAUCCAAAACCAGUCUGAGGCUGUAUAUGGCCACAGUAACAGAAUCACAGAAUUGUUUAGGUUGGAAAAGACCUCCAAGGUCAUCAAGUCCAACCUAACACUGCAAAGUCCCACUAAACCAUGUCCUUAAGCACCACAUCUACACUUCUUUUAAAUACCUCCAGGGAUGGUGACUCCACCACUUCCCUGGACAGCUUGUUCCAGUGCUUGACAACCCUUCUGCUGAAGAAAUUUUUCCUAAUAUCCAAUCUAAACCUUCCCUGGUGCAACAUGAGGCACUUUUCUCUUGUCCUAUCAUUUGUAACUUGGGAGAAAAGACCAACACCCACCUUGGUACAGCCUCUUGUAUUUUUGAAUAGUCAAUAAUAGGCUCCAAAGUGUUUAAAAUAGAAGCAAAGAUUAUUAUUGUUUCUUACCCUCUCUCUGCUUAUUAUAGCCCUGUUUGUGCCUAAACAGGAAAUGUGCUAUAUACUGAGAAUUAGGAAAAUUCAGACCUUUUGAUGGAAUCAAAGAAAAUUAAUGAAAAAUGCAAAGUUUU